CAGAUGAUGGUUAUAGCAUUUUUUAGUGAUAAUGUAUUUUUCUUUAAGGUAGGUCCGUUGUUUUUUAGACAUAAGGUUAUUGCAUCCUUAAUAGGCGACAGUGUAGGGCAAACACAGCUUUUACCUGCACUGGGAAACCGAGAAGUUGGUGUGAGUGGCUUUACCGCGAUACUCUCUUCUUUGCCGUGGUCUGGAGCCAAACCCGUGACGUCUCCGACGUGUGCCUGUACUUAAUAAACAGAGUUAUUGCAGGAUGUCAGGAUUGUGAAACGGUCGUGAAGAACAAGCCUGUUUGUCAGAGGAGGAACUGGAGGCUUGAAGGCCUCAAGUAACCUGCCCAGAGUCAUGAAGCUGGUAAGUGGGUGAGCGCCCCAGAAAUGGCUCUCCUAGGAUUGUGCAGUGUACAACUUACACCACUGUCCAGGGCCUGCAUCAGGGUUCAGACCCAGGUCAACCCGAGUUCAGAGUCUGGGCUUUCCCACCUGGCCCCAGGCCCUGUGCCAGAAACACAACAAUAAGAAGUUGUCCUACAGGCCUCAGGGAGCUCAGAAAGCAGGGAGAGAGGACGACACGGGAAAGAAACCGUAAAGGUGAUGGAGACGAUGAUGGCGCUGCCGGUGAUAAAGGCACUGAUGGUCCUGGCGAUGAAGGUGAUGGUGCCGGCAGUGGCCAUCAUUCGUUCAGUGCUCUUCAUGUACCAGGCACUGUGCUAAGUCUUUCAGAUAAAGUAUUUGGGAGGUCGGUACUAGCCUGCCUAUUUGGUCUUUCAGCCCGUGAAGGGAAGGGCUGAUAUUUUCACCUAAGUCCACGUGAUUCCUGGGUCUGGGCUGGACAAAGGCCCGAAGGAGGCUGGGUGUAAGGGGCUAGGACUGAGGUCUAUGCAGAGGGAGUCUAGCCCCUCCCCCUCCAGCAGAGGGAGGGGAAACAUGAUGGGCAGAGCUGAUCCACAUUGUUGUGGGGGGGGCCCGGAUACGGCCCCUGUCUGGCGGGUUGAUGCCAGGCCAGCAGUGAGGGGACCAACAGCCCUGGGGUGCAGAUGCCUGGGGCUGAGCGGGGGGGCGUCAACCUGCUCGCGUUCCUGUUCUGCAGAUGGAGGUUGAGCACUGCGGAGGGGCAGGCGUAUCCGCCAUGGUUUUUAUUUUCUGUAUUUUACGACGCUUUGAUGUCUCAGGGGCCCUGCUGGCCAGGAAGAAAGUGCCCCUUGCCCCAGGGUUAGCCGGUCUGAGAGGUAACAGAUACUCCCGUGAGCGCGCCUAUCGUAUGGAACCAGCCAACACAGAGCCCACCCCUCCUCUCUCAGGCUCCCACGCUCCCAGGGCAAUAUUUCCCUGCCCUCAGUCACCCAGGGCCAGGAAGCAGACAGCUGGAGACCCCCCAUAGCCCAGAGCCUGCCCCAGUUCUUCAAUCCAUCCAACCAUAAGCCAGUGCACAGCUGACCCCGCCUCACCCUUUCCAUCCCCUGAAAACUGCAAUAAAGGCUCUGGGCCCUGCCGCCCCCAGGUUCCUUCUGCCUCUGGACUGACCCGCUGCGGCCCCGUGUGGCCCUGCAUGGCCUGCCCCCCCCCCCCGGGGAACUGUGAGUGAUGAACUCUUCUUUCAAGGCAGUGGUCUCCACGUCUGUCACCUUACAUACCUGAUUAGAAUACAUCAGGGGUGCAAACCUCAACAUGGCAGGGGGGGCCUUGGGCCGCGUGGCAGAUGCAAGUUCAGACACAGGCUGUCUGGCUGGCCCGUCACGGAGCUGCUGAGGUGGGGUGAGCAGGGGUGAGCAGGGGCCACGGUUGUCCUGUGUGCUGGGUGGCCAUGGGGCAGUGGGAGGGGACGCGCCUUCUGAAUUCUGCUCAUCGCCCGCUGCUGGGUGACUGGGGCGGGUCUCCACCUCUCUGUGGGUCUCCUCUGUGGACUGGAGACCUGGGCCUGGGAGCUGCCGGCCGGCCGGGAGGGUGCCGUCCGAGCCAGGCUGCAGGGGGCCGCUGAGCUGAGGGCCAGGUGGGCAUGGGGCCGUCACCCCCCAGUAGAGCCACCACCCUGCCCAGGACCCACUUGGCAGCCCCUGUAGGCGGCAGAGGGCAGGCAGGGCCAAAGCCGGGCUGGGGUGUAGGGGGAGGGCGGUAGACGGCGGGGCCCCCGGCCGCCUCACCCCUGUGCCUGCUGGCUGGCAUCUGGCCCCGGCCCAGCUCCCCUUCCUCCGGGCCCGGUGCUCUCCGUCCACUGGGCCGCCUCCCCAGGGGUGCCAGGCCCUGAGUGCACGGCCACGGCCAGCCUGGCCGGCCCGUCAUUGAAGCCUCCCUCCCGUAAUUGGCAAUUUUGUCAUAUUUAUUCACAACAGAUCGGAUUGCCAGGAGCUUGCUGGAGCUCUCCGGAGGCCCGCCGUGAAAUCGGUUUGAAAUGGUGUGUCAGGUUUUUCUCUCCCUGCUGAAGCGACCAUCUGGCUGCCGGGCCGGGGCUGGGCUGAUACACUGACCCGGGGAAUCGCGGCUAAGCCGCUCCCGGGGGCCCACACGCCCGCGCGCCGCUCUGGCCUCCCCCAUGGGCUCGGCUGCAGGGGGAGACCUGGGCAGGGCGGGGGGCAGGAGGCGAGAGCCCCCGGGCACCACGCUGGCCAUCCAGGCACUGCCAGGUUGGCACCUCUCCCACAGCCCUACCCCGGGUGGCCCGGAUCUCAGCGGCUGAGCAGAAUUAAAGGGCGGAUUCUCAACCACUGCGCCACCAGGGCAGCCCCAAGGGUGAGUUCUCGAUCGUGUGGCAGUUCUGUCUGGGUCGAUGGGGGCUCCGGUCCUGGCGGUCCUCAGGCCCCUCCCACCACAGCGCGUGGCCCUGUGAGCGCCUGGUGUCGCUCAGCUGGGGGGCGGGGGCAGCUCCCAGGAAGGCCCCAAGCUGGACGUGAUCGGGUGGCCCCACUGAUGCCAGGAGGGCUGCCAAGUCAUAUCCAGGGGAAGAAAUGGGCUGGGAGCCCGUGAAGCAGACCCUCAAUAAAGCAGGAGCACCAAAACCUUUUUUCUAAGAAAUAUUUUAUUUCAAAAAUCAA